GACGAACCGUGCGAACGUUGUUCGGAAUCACUGGGCUUAAAGGGCGCGUAGGCGGCUUCGCAAGUCCGGGGUGAAAGCCCCCAGCUCAACUGGGGAAGUGCCUCGGAUACUGCGGAGCUUGAGGGAGGUAGGGGCGGAUGGAACUUCCGGUGGAGCGGUGAAAUGCGUUGAUAUCGGAAGGAACGCCGGUGGCGAAAGCGAUCCGCUGGCCCUCUUCUGACGCUGAGGCGCGAAAGCCAGGGGAGCAAACGGG
rnacentral:rRNA from 1 species